GUGUUAAUAUUAAAAUACGAAGUCGGACCUGCCCAGUGAAUUUUAAACGGCCGCGGUACUCUGACCGUGCAAAGGUAGCAUAAUCAUUUGCCUUAUAAUUGAAGGCUGGAAUGAAUGGUUUGACAAGAAUACACCUGUCUCUUUUAGAUUAUUUAGAAUUUUAUUUCUGGAUGAAAAAGUCCAGAUAGUAUUAAAAGACAAGAAGACCCUAUCGAGCUUUAGAAAAGUUAGUAGACUUAAUGCAAAUUAAUAUAAGUAAAAAAAGCUAUUAAAUAUUUUGGUUGGGGCAACCGAGGAGCAGACAAAGCCUCCUCUAAAUUGUAAAUCUUACUUGUGUUGAUCCAGAAAUUUUGAUCAAAGGAAUUAGUUACCGUAGGGAUAACAGCAUUAUCUUUUUCAAGAGCCCAUAUCGAAAAAAAGGUUUGUGACCUCGAUGUUGGACCAGAAUAUCCUAAAGAUGCAGAAGUCUUUAAGGGUUGGUCUGUUCGACCAUUAAAAUUCUA
rnacentral:rRNA from 1 species